UAGUUUUGGCAUAUAAAAUCAACUCAUAAUAGUAUGGACUUAAUCUCAAAAGACCUUGUCAUUGGUUCACUUAGAUUAUUCUUUGCAAGGUCAAAGUUUGCUAUGUAUGUCAUCUAGAAAAACAAACUAGAAUCAUUUCUAAAUCUGAAAAUAUUGUUUUCACCUUUUAGCCUUUGAAAACUCUUCAUAAGAACUUAUUUGGAUCUCUAGGAUUGUGAACCC
rnacentral:lncRNA from 1 species